rnacentral:rRNA from 1 species
AUACGUAGGGUGCGAGCGUUGUCCGGAAUUACUGGGCGUAAAGAGCUCGUAGGUGGUUUGUCGCGUCGUCUGUGAAAUUCCGGGGCUUAACUCCGGGCGUGCAGGCGAUACGGGCAUAACUUGAGUACUGUAGGGGAGACUGGAAUUCCUGGUGUAGCGGUGAAAUGCGCAGAUAUCAGGAGGAACACCGGUGGCGAAGGCGGGUCGCUGGGCAGUAACUGGCGCUGAGGAGCGAAAGCAUGGGUAGCGAACAGGAUUAGAUGCCCUGGUAGUCCAGGCCGUAAACGGUGGGCGCUAGGUGUAGGGGUCUUCCACGACUUCUGUGCCGUAGCUAACGCAUUAAGCGCCCCGCCUGGGGAGUACGGCCGCAAGGCUAAAACUCAAAUGAAUUGACGGGG